GGGGGGUGCAAGCGUUAUUCGGAUUUAUUGGGCGUAAAGAGCGCGUAGGCGGUUUAUCAAGUCAGAUGUGAAAGCCCUGGGCUCAACCUGGGAAGUGCAUUUGAAACUAGUAGACUUGAGUAAGGGAGAGGGGAGUGGAAUUCCUGGUGUAGAGGUGAAAUUCGUAGAUAUCAGGAGGAACACCGGUGGCGAAGGCGACUUCCUGGACCAAUACUGACGCUGAGGCGCGAAGGCGUGGGGAGCAAACAGGAUUAGAUACCCUGGUAGUCCACGCAGUAAACGGUGAUCACUAGGUGUAGCGGGUAUUGACCCCUGCUGUGCCGCAGUUAACGCAUUAAGUGAUCCGCCUGGGGAGUACGAUCGCAAGGUUA
rnacentral:rRNA from 1 species